AGGUAAGCUACUAAGAGCGAAUGGUGGAUGCCUUGACUGGUAAAGGCGAUGAAGGACGUACUAGACUGCGAUAAGCUACGGGGAGCUGUCAAGAAGCUUUGAUCCGUAGAUUUCCGAAUGGGGCAACCCAAUGUAUAGAGAUAUACAUUACCUAUAUAGGAGCGAACGAGGGGAAUUGAAACAUCUUAGUACCCUCAGGAAAAGAAAUCAAUAGAGAUUGCGUCAGUAGCGGCGAGCGAAAGCGCAAGAGGGCAAACCCAGUGCUUGCACUGGGGGUUGUAGGACUGCAAUGUGCAAGAGGUAAGUUUAGCAGAACAUUCUGGAAAGUAUAACCAUAGAGGGUGAUAGUCCCGUAUGCGAAAAACAAACCUUAGCUAGCAGUAUCCUGAGUAGGGCGGGACACGAGGAAUCCUGUCUGAAUCCGGGUCGACCACGAUCCAACCCUAAAUACUAAUACCAGAUCGAUAGUGCACAAGUACCGUGAGGGAAAGGUGAAAAGAACUGAGGUGAUCAGAGUGAAAUAGAACCUGAAACCAUUUGCUUACAAUCAUUCAGAGCCCUAUGUAGCAAUACAGGGUGAUGGACUGCCUUUUGCAUAAUGAGCCUGCGAGUUGUGGUGUCUGGCAAGGUUAAGCAAACGCGAAGCCGUAGCGAAAGCGAGUCUGAAUAGGGCGCUUAGUCAGAUGCUGCAGACCCGAAACGAAGUGAUCUAUCCAUGAGCAAGUUGAAGCUAGUGUAAGAACUAGUGGAGGACUGAACCCAUAGGCGUUGAAAAGCCCCGGGAUGACUUGUGGAUAGGGGUGAAAGGCCAAUCAAACUUCGUGAUAGCUGGUUCUCUCCGAAAUAUAUUUAGGUAUAGCGUUGUGUCGUAAUAUAAGGGGGUAGAGCACUGAAUGGGCUAGGGCAUACACCAAUGUACCAAACCCUAUCAAACUCCGAAUACCUUAUAUGUAAUCACAGCAGUCAGGCGGCGAGUGAUAAAAUCCGUCGUCAAGAGGGAAACAACCCAGACUACCAGCUAAGGUCCCUAAAUCUUACUUAAGUGGAAAACGAUGUGAAGUUACUUAAACAACCAGGAGGUUGGCUUAGAAGCAGCCAUCCUUUAAAGAAAGCGUAAUAGCUCACUGGUCUAGUGAUUUUGCGCGGAAAAUAUAACGGGGCUAAAGUAAGUACCGAAGCUGUAGACUUAGUUUACUAAGUGGUAGGAGAGCGUUCUAUUUGCGUCGAAGGUAUACCGGUAAGGAGUGCUGGAGCGAAUAGAAGUGAGCAUGCAGGCAUGAGUAGCGAUAAUUAAUGUGAGAAUCAUUAACGCCGUAAACCCAAGGUUUCCUACGCGAUGCUCGUCAUCGUAGGGUUAGUCGGGUCCUAAGUCGAGUCCGAAAGGGGUAG
rnacentral:rRNA from 1 species